rnacentral:tRNA from 3 species
UGGGGAUUAGCUCAGCUGGGAGAGCGCCUGCUUUGCAAGCAGGAGGUCAUCGGUUCGAUCCCGUUAUCCUCCA